AAACCAUAGCCCCCAGCCGCCACACCCCUGACCCCUCCUCCCUCCUCCCUCGCUCCUCACCGCAGCCGUCGUGCCCCUCCCCCGCAGCCCCAGGACCUCCAUCUCCUCCAUGCGUCCUCGCUGCCGCCGCAGCCUCGGGCGCACCCUCUCCUUCAACCCCAUGUGAAAUCGAGCAUCCUGGCGGUGCCUUGACUGAUCCAUGAUGAUGGCUAGCGCAGGUGAGCGCCACGCAUGGUGUAGCAGGCUUGGAGGCAGCGGGCGCGGCGGUCAAGGCCAAGGGCACGUCGAGCGACGAUGACCACAUCCGCCACCAACAACGAGGAUAAAGAAGUCUAAGCCUAAAGUCAUCAUGGUUGAGGUUGAUAGUAUAUCUGCUGGUGAUAGUGGUGGAGCUGCUGAUCUUAUUGCAAGAUUCUUAUAUUUUGCAUUUGUAAUGACAGUUAUAGCAAGAAGCUUAAGAGCACUGUAAAUUACCUAUUUGGUACCCAACUUCAGGAAACCAACAAAGUAGCAGAUACAAGUCCGCUUGCAAUUUUUGGGAGAAUACACAGUUCCUUUGGGUUCAUCGCUCGGUUUUGUCCCUGAUAUGCUUACUGCUCCUACAUGGCUCUUCAGGGUUAUGGAUGGAGUGCGUUAUUUCGACGGUCCUCUACUCUAUUUUUUUGUUGCGUGUGCCUUCAGGUCCAUCAGGUAUAAGGCGAGUUGUGUCCCUGGUAGAGGUGCAGAUCAAGGAGGUCGACAAAUGGGAUGAUGUUGGGUGACGUUCACUAAGGAGGAAAAAGGUGCAGGUCGUUGUUUUUUUUGGCGAUGGCAGCAACAUACUUCCUUGAGUGAAGAAAGGAAUCCCCAGCCUGAAGCUUCGCACAGAUUUUUCCUAUUCUCUGAGAUGGAUGAUGAUGAGCGGUGCAACCGAAAAUUCAGAGCUGGGCUUUACACACUUCAGUGGGAGUGGCAUGACAGCACCAAGGUAGAGACCUGAAGAGAAGCAAAGGGACGGAGCAAGGAAACUAGAACCACGUUGUCGUGAUGUGGGUCGUGUCGUCUUCGUCCAUCUCCAUGGAGAACAACAUGUCAUAAACAUGGAGCUGAGCAUUCCAGAUCCCUUCAAGACAGAGAUGUAGAGAGUGGCUCCAUCACUGAAGAGAGGACAAACAUUGUGCAAGGCAUUUUUGUGCAGCUCCUUUCACAAAUGAAGGAAUUACAAUGCAUCUGACCUGUAAAGGAUUGUGACGGACAAAGUGCAAUGAAUCCACAGGAGUGGGAGGGGAGAGUUUACGAAGAAUGUUUCAAGGACAAAGUGUGACCUGGAUUCCUAAGUUAUACCCAACGUAGCAAAAUUGUAUAGAGAGAAUGCCCGCAUUUUGAAAACUCCAUUACAUAAUUUGAGGCUAUGUUCCUUUCAAUUUUCAG